GGAUUUUGUUUCCAGAAGUUGUUUAGUCAAUUGUUUGCAUUUAAUGCCUUGAAAUUGUGUUAAUUAUAAAAACUAAUCGCAUGCCAACAAGAAAGGUGUAUAUAUUGUUGAUUUAACAGUAAUUCGUAUUGCACUGUUAUCAAUUAUGAAACUACAGUAUUUUAUUGUGUACAAUUAGUUAUUAUGAAUAAUGUGUUCAUAAGUACUUUUGACAAAAAAGUUAAGAAAAUCGUUCACAGAGUAGCAAUUUUUGGUAGCGUUUCUUGUGAAUAUUUGUCUAGGUAAUGGACAGUUAUAAACACCAUCAGAAGUGUACUACCCAAAUAACAUUACGGAGUCCAUGGCGAUCACUUAUUACGUAUUUAAACGAGGCUUUAAGGAGAACUGUACCUUGAGAUUUUUUAUACACGCAGUGUGUUUAAUAAGAUGCUAUUUUUACACGGUAAUGCAGUUUAAAUUUUAUUUCCAUAAGACCAGCUGUGUUCCAAAGUUUGCGAUUUCUGCCGAAAAUUUGUCUGCAUUGUUGAACGGUUUUAAUUUAAAUUUCGCGCCGAAUUAUCAUGUUACCUUCCGUAUUUUCAAAACGGAAGACCAACGGUACCUUUUAUUUUUAAAAAAAAUCCCACAGAAAGUAUAAGAUUCGUAACAUGUAUUAGUAACUCAAGUUACCGCAGCUCUCAAUGGAUGCUUUUUAGCUCACCUGAUUGCUCAGGUGAGCUUUUGUGACCGGUCUUUGUCCGUCGUAUGUCCGUACGUCCGUUAACAUUUGCUCGUAAACACUCUAGAGGCCACAUUUCUUGUCCCAUCUUCAUGAAACUUGGUCAGAAGCUUUAUCCCAAUGAAAUCUCAGCCGAGUUUGAAACUGGGUUGUGCCGGGUCAAAAACUAGGUCACUAGGUCAAAAAAAUGAAAAACCUUGUAAACACUGUAGAAGUCACAUUUCAUGCCCAAUCUUCAUGAAAAUUGGUCAAAACAUUGGUCCAUGUCUCGGAUUUGUUUGAAAAUGGUCGAGAUCGGCGAAAAAACAUGGCCGCCAGUGGGCGGGGCAUUUUUCUCUAUAUGUAUAUAGUGGCAGUUUUCCCUAUUUGGCUAUAGAGAAACCUUAUAAACACUCUAGAAGUCACAAUUUUUGCCCAAUCAUCAUGAAAGUUGGUCAAAACAUUGAUUUUAUUGAUGAUUUCUCGGACGAGUUUGAAAAUGGACGGGAUCGCAAAAAAAACAUGGCCGCAAGUGGGCGGGGCAUUUUUCUCUAUAUGUAUAUAGUGAAAACAUGUGAACACAGUAGAAGUCACAUUUUUGGCCCAAUUUGUAUGAAGUUUGCUCUGAACAUUUGUUUCCUUGUUACGAGAGUUGAGUUCAAAAAUGGUUUCGGUAAGUUGAAAAACAUGGCUGCUGGGAGGGGGGCAGUUUUCUCAUUAUGCCCCCCCCCCCCCCCCUUCGAAGAAGAGGGGGUAUAUUGUUUUGCUCAUGUCGGUCUGUCCGUCCACCAGAUGGUUUCUGAAUGAUAACUCAAGAGCGCUUAUGCCAAGGAUCAUGAAACUUCAUAGGUACAUUGAUCAUGACUCGCAGAUGAAAUAAUGAUGAAACUUGACCAGAAUGUUUGUCUGGACAAUAUCUAGGUCAAGUUUGACAUUUGGUAAAGAUUGAAUGAACCGACUCCUCUCAGGUGAGGGAACUAGGGCCAUUUUGGCCCUCUUGUUUGUUUAUCAUAUUGGUGUCACUUUAUGAGUAUAUGCCAUAGAAUAAAGGUUUAUUAAUGUUUAAUCUUGAAUACGCUGAAAUACCGUAAAGUUGAAGAGUCAUUAUCUUGUUUACAGUACUUUUAAAUACAUUUCAAGUUUAUUUUCAAAGACGUUUUAUCAUUCGUUUACAAUAAAUUUCUGUGUUUACCUUAUCUUGAUAUUUUGUUCAUUCAUUUUAAGUGUAUUAUAAACACCGUGCAAUCAUGACGUAUUUAUUUAUUACGUAGUCAGUAAGUUUACGUUCGAUUGUGUUUACCUAUACCGUUGUUUGUGACUUCGUUUAUACAUAACUAGAUAUUUGUUAAUAACAAAAGAAAAAGAAAACAA